AUUGAACGCUGGCGGCAGGCCUAACACAUGCAAGUCGAGCGGAUGAAGGGAGCUUGCUCCUGGCUUCAGCGGCGGACGGGUGAGUAAUGCCUAGGAAUCUGCCUGGUCUUGGGGGAUAACGUCCGUAAACGGGCGCUAAUACCGCAUCCGUCCUGAGGGUGAAAGUGGGGGUUCUUCGGACCUCACGCUUUCUGAUGACCCUAGGUCGGAUUAGCUAGUUGGUGGGGUAACGGCUUACCAAGGCGACGAUGCGUAACUGGUCUGAGAGGAUGAUCAGUCACACUGGAACUGAGACACGGUCCAGACUCCUACGGGAGGCAGCAGUGGGGAAUCUUGGACAAUGGGCGAAAGCCUGAUCCAGCCACGCCGCGUGUGUGAAGAAGGUCUUCGGAUUGUAAAGCACUUUAAGUUGGGAGGAAGGGCAGUAAGUUAAUACAUGGCUGUUUUGACGUUACCAACAGAAUAAGCACCGGCUAACUUCGUG
rnacentral:rRNA from 1 species